CUUCUUUUAUGAUGAGCAUUUUAUUUCAAGUUAUCCCUGUCUGAAAGGUAUAAAAACAAACUGUGUUGAUAACAUGUAACUCUGAAAAUAUC
rnacentral:snoRNA from 1 species